UGGGGAAUUUUGGACAAUGGGCGAAAGCCUGAUCCAGCAAUGCCGCGUGUGUGAAGAAGGCCUUCGGGUUGUAAAGCACUUUUGUCCGGAAAGAAAUCCUUGGCUCUAAUACAGUCGGGGGAUGACGGUACCGGAAGAAUAAGCACCGGCUAACUACGUGCCAGCAGCCGCGGUAAUACGUAGGGUGCAAGCGUUAAUCGGAAUUACUGGGCGUAAAGCGUGCGCAGGCGGUUUGCUAAGACCGAUGUGAAAUCCCCGGGCUCAACCUGGGAACUGCAUUGGUGACUGGCAGGCUAGAGUAUGGCAGAGGGGGGUAGAAUUCCACGUGUAGCAGUGAAAUGCGUAGAGAUGUGGAGGAAUACCGAUGGCGAAGGCAGCCCCCUGGGCCAAUACUGACGCUCAUGCACGAAAGCGUGGGGAGCAAAACAGGAUUAGAUACCCUGGUAGUCCACGCCCUAAAACGAUGUCAGCUAGUUGUUGGGGAUUCAUUUCCUUAGUAACGUAGCUAACGCGUGAAGUUGACCGCCUGGGGGAGUACGGUCGCAAGAUUAAAACUCAAAGGAAUUGACGGGGUCAUAGCUGUUUCCU
rnacentral:rRNA from 1 species